rnacentral:rRNA from 1 species
ACGCUGGCGGCGUGCUUAACACAUGCAAGUCGAACGAUGAAGCCCUUCGGGGUGGAUUAGUGGCGAACGGGUGAGUAACACGUGGGCAAUCUGCCCUUCACUCUGGGACAAGCCCUGGAAACGGGGUCUAAUACCGGAUAACACUCUGUCCCGCAUGGGACGGGGUUAAAAGCUCCGGCGGUGAAGGAUGAGCCCGCGGCCUAUCAGCUUGUUGGUGGGGUGAUGGCCUACCAAGGCGACGACGGGUAGCCGGCCUGAGAGGGCGACCGGCCACACUGGGACUGAGACACGGCCCAGACUCCUACGGGAGGCAGCAGUGGGGAAUAUUGCACAAUGGGCGAAAGCCUGAUGCAGCGACGCCGCGUGAGGGAUGACGGCCUUCGGGUUGUAAACCUCUUUCAGCAGGGAAGAAGCGAAAGUGACGGUACCUGCAGAAGAAGCGCCGGCUAACUACGUGCCAGCAGCCGCGGUAAUACGUAGGGCGCAAGCGUUGUCCGGAAUUAUUGGGCGUAAA